AUGCGGCCGGAAAAGGCGGGUUGUAAUCGUCUUGCUGUUAAUUCUGACAAUAUGAAGGUGAUUGAAAUAAUAAAAAAUGGAGGACAUUCGGUGAAAGCGGCGAUGGCAGGGUUCGAUGAUUGCUAUUUCAUAGCUUGUGAUUUUCCGCUUGUUAGAUUUGAACAUUGUACUAGGGAAGCAAAUAAGAUGUCUCAUGAAAUUGCUAGGCUAGUGAAAUUUUCAGUUACUGCUGACUGGUUUGAGGAGCCUGUGAGGGACAUUGUACAUUUACUUAUUGACGAUGUAACAAUUAUUUCUAAUAAAUAA
rnacentral:rRNA from 1 species